UUAAUGGAAGUUGAAUAAUUCAAAUAUUUUUCUUUAGUUUUUGGAUUUAAUAGUUUGAAUUAUGUAUUUAAGCUCAAAUUUGCUCAUGUUUACAUUGUUUGGAUUGAAAUAAUAGAUGCUAGACUUGGAGGAGUCUAUAUCCAAAAUGAAGGUUCUUCUUAGGUUUGAUUGGUGUGUUAGAGAGAAAUCCAGAGGAAAGAAGAAAUUGAAGCCGCCUAGAACGAGAGCAAUUGUGAACAAAAGGGAUUUUUCUGGGUAAUGUCAAAACUCUUGCGUCUGAUCUAUCUUUACUUUAUGCAUUAUUUUUUCUAUAAAACUUCACAUAUAACUCAUAAAUUAAGUUACAAGGUCGGUAUCUAAUUUUUCCUAUUCUUUGUUUCACGCUCGGUGGUUGGUGUUUGAACAGAACCAAUUCAUGUCAUUAAACAUUGCUCUGAAAUUCCUAGGGUAUUUUUAGCAUGGACACAAAUAAUUGGAGACCUAUCCAAGGUGAGGAACCUACGAUGGACGCCACAGAUUGGAGAACUCAAUUGCAGCACAAUUCGAGACAACGCAUUGUCAACAAGAGGUAAGUCUCUUUUUUUCAUUUUUUAUUUUUAAAAAUAGCUUAAACAUGUAUAUAGAGAAACAUGUAUAUUUUUUGUUUUACAAAUUUCUUUGUUAAAAUAAAGACUUUAGAAUGGUUUUCAUGUAUUUUCUUUAAUCAGAACUUAUCUUUAGAGUAUGAAAUACAUGAAAUGUUCAUUUUCACUGACUUGUAUAACUUAAUGUCUUUACUGGAAGAAUGGAUACAUUGAAGAAGCAUCUCCCUUACUCUGGCUAAGAGGAAUUUCUUGAACUGAAAAAAAUUGUUGAAAGGUUUGAAGAAAAGAUUUGCAGUGCCGCCACAAGCCAGGUACUUUUGUAUUUCUGACCCUUUUCUUUUUUUUUUCUUUUCACUUAGUCACCUAUAUGUAUUACUUACAUCUUAAUGCUGACAUGAUGUACUUGUGUUGAUAUGUUAUGUUUUGUGUACUUGCACAUUCUAUGAAAUAUUUUUGUGUUUAUUUAUCGAUUGCUCUCUCCUAACUGGUAUUUUGUUUGUGAUUGCAAUCUGAUUUUUUACGAAACAUUUCACUAAAGAUGCUGACAAUGGAAACUAAGUCCCAAAAUGAUAAUAGACCCAAACCCACAGAUCCAAGUAAGCAAUACAUUCUUAAGUGCAAACCAAAAAACAAUAUUCUUUAUGGUAUACAAAAUGUAUGUAUUUGAAUCACAUUCUAAUUUGUUCCGCCGUCUUCCAAAUGGAGUGGUUAAGUUCCAUGAAAUUGUGUUCAGAGUUCUUCCAGCAUAUCAUCUGCUCUUUCUCCCCACACUAGCUUAAGUCAGACUUCUAUCUCAAAUGUUGUUGGUCAAAAUCCAAAUAUGCAAAAUAUGAGGAUUUAUAUGAUUGGAAUUUUCAAUCGCAUCUGAGUUUAAGGUGGUGAAGUCAAUGUAAAUUCUGUUGAUUUACACCUGCCGGGAUAAGCAACAGUUGAGCCAGUUUGGGUUGUGACUCUUCUCCUUCCUUCGAUUGACUCAUCGAUUUUUGGCUCUAUAUAUUUCUUCACAAUUUGAAUCCAAUUACAUGUUAUAAGCUUACCAAUUCAAUAAAAUGCCAUCUUUCUAAUU